UCCACAGUUCCAUUACCGGCGCUGCCGUGGGGCCAACCGCUCUCCUCACGAAGCUCCAGGGAUACCUCACUUCGGCUCCCACAGGCCGUAGCCUAGCGACCCCGGAAGACAGGCACUGGUGCAUGCGCAUGAAAACCAGGGUCCCAAAAUGCGCAACACGCAUGUGCAAGCCAACGGCCAAACCCAACGGCCGUUGGCGUCAAACGGCUGAGGUGUUGGGUGUUUGCGAAGCCGUUGAGGCCACCCUUGCCCAAUGAGAGCGGUGGCUUCGAGACCCUUCUCUGCUCUCUGCCUGGGCUGCUGGGAGCAUUAGGGGAAGGAAUGGUGGGCGGGAAUUCUACCUCUUACAGUAAACAGCACCAGUUAAAGAAACGUGGGCGGGGACACUUGGAAGGCAGGCCUCUGCUCUCAGAUGUGUCCCAGAGCAGCAGGAACACCAGGAUGUAGGCCUCGUCCCAGAAGAAACUCCCCCAAAAACUCCGUCUCCAGAUUUCCUCCACCCUCAUUCUGUUUCCUCCCCGCUCCCCAGCAGAUCUCCCUGGAAAUGUAGCAGCGGUAACACAGGGCUUUUCAUGGUUUCAGACUGUGGCAGUGUGUCAUCCAGUGCAAAUUUUAUUAAAAAGGGGAAACUACUGUGUAUUUUCCAUUCGAAGUGAAAAAGCAUUUAUGCAGGCCUCCUCUUUGGUUUAUUUUACUUCCAUAGACUCUAUUUGAAUCCUUAAUCCAUGCUGCAUUUUGGAGAAAUAGUGUACUAGUUAACAAUUUUUAAGAAUGUAUUUUAUUUGAGGGUCAGAGAGAGAAGAGAGCUUGCAUCUCUCUGUGGCCUCCCCAAAUGUCCUGGAACCAGGAACUCCAGUCUCCCACGUGAGUGCCAGGGACACAACCACUGGACCCAUGAUCACCGCCUCCCAGAACGGAGACCAGCAGAAGUUGAGCCAGAACUCAAACCCAGAGCGUGCAGGCAUCCUAACCCACAUCCUAACCACUGGGCCAAACCUACCCAGUUUAAGGCAUGUUUUGUGUCUUUAACAUUUGGUAGGUUUUUGUUCUUGUGUAAAUCGUUACACUGUUCUUUAUAUAUGUAUCUUUAUAUAUAUUUUCUGGCUGUUUUCAUUUUUCUUGUGAUGGCACACUUUCCCAUUUUAAUUUUUAAAGGUUAUUCUUUUGAUACCUGUGAGUUUGUUUUGCAACCAGAAUGAAGAAUUUUAAGCUACUAUUUUGUAACCAGAGAAGAGUUGACAAUUUCUAGCAAGCACUUAUUGGAAGAUGAACUGGACAGUAGCAACUUCACCAGAAAGUUGUGAUGCUGAAGAUGCACAUGAAAGAAAAUCAAAAGCCAGACAAAUGGGCUGUUUUUAUUGAAGGAGAAGUUUACUGCAAAUAUUAAGAGCAGAAAACAAUCAAGCCACCCACAUACCCCUGUUUGCCAAAGCCUUUGCUUAUGCAAAAAGGAAAAGCAAUAAAGCACAGCAAAAAGCAAAAGCCAGGGCAGAUCUGAAUGUACUGGCAGGCCCGCAUACAGAUCCAACAGCAGAGGGUGGAGGCCUGAAUGGAAGAACUUCAGACAACUGUUGACCAGUCUUUGACGAACUGCUAGCCUAUGCAGACACAGCAGCCACCCCUAGAAACCCAGACUUAAAAAUAAGAAAAAACAGAAACCUGAGCAGAGACAUCAGUGGCUGGGCACAGCAAGUGAAGAUAGAUUUCACAGGCUUAAUGGAGACAAGUUACUCCUAUAUACAGAGAAAUUUCUGGAAGUUCCUUUAUUCUAUCAGAAGUAAAUUUGUAUUAGUUUGAAGUAGAUUGAGCUAAGAUAUAUAUUGUCACCUGUUCAGAUGUAACUAAUAGCAGAAAAUUCAGAGUAAUUAAAAUGGUACUGAAAAAAGUAUUUAUUUAAAGCAAAAGGUAGUAAAAACAGAAGAAUCUCUUUAGAUAUGAGAAUAAAAAUAAAUAGUAAAAGGUAUAAAUUCAACUACAUCAAUAAUAUUAAAUAUGAAUGGACACACAACUUAAAAGGCAACAAUUACCAGAUGGAAUAAAACAAAAUAUCCAUCUGAUAAAGGGCUUUCCUUAAAAUAUAAGAUAUACAAAUGGCAAAUAAGCACAGAAGAUGGUCAAUAUUAUUAUUCACUACAGAAACAUAAAUUAAAUCCAAGAUGAUUGCAUUAAGGUGAGAUUAAUUUGGAUGAGUGGUGUGAGACCACUUCUUAUUGAGUAGAAUGACCAUCAAAAGGUCAUUUAAAAAGGUAGGAAAUACUGUAAAAGGGAGAAGCUGUAAUUCCCCUACAUUCCUCAU